CAAAAUCUGGGGCAAUGAAAGUGGGCAAUACUAUAGAUGCUCACAACAAAUUCAUAGAUGAUUCAUAAGAAUUUCCCCUACUACCUAAACGUCAAAUAUUGAAAAAGAAGCAUAUUCCUCCUCGCAUUUAUUUCUGUCUUAUUCUAUUUCAAUUUGUAUUUGUUUCUAUUUUAGAAUGUGUUUUAAUUUCAUAUUUUGUUCUCAUACCUCUAUUUCUGAUCAUCAGGUGGAGACAAUAUAAUGAGUUUGGAUCUGCCACACUCAUGGUUUAUGACAUUAUGAUGUAUUAUUGGUAUUUCAGCCUAGUGCCGGUUGCGCUAAAGCCAGUUAAAUUUUAAUCGUGAUUAAUCCCACGAGAACCAAUCAAAGAAGCCGUCGUUGAGGCCUUCUCUGAUUGGUUCUCAUGGAAUUAAUCACGGUUAAAAUUUAACCGGCUUUUGUGCAACUGGGCCUUAGUCUGUCUGUCCAAUUGCACACUUGGAAGCAGGUGCCAGCAUGAUUGUCUAUUCAAUUCAAAGUCAUAUAUAAUCAGGACUGAAAUUUUAAACAGGUGUGUCAGUUUGUAAUGCAUCAGAUGGAGCUUGGCAUACACAUACUGAUUCACUCCUGUCAUGGACCACAGCUUUCAAGUAUGGCACUUGACAGUGAGCAGAGUGAGAGAGAACGUAUCAGGAGCUGUAGAUCAUCACUGCUUGUCUCCGGAAUGAUUGAGCAAGCGAUGCGAGUUCUCACUCCCUGAUGCAGUCUCCAUGUGGAUUGAGAGUGAGCAGAGUGAGAGAGAACGAAUCAGGAGCUGUAGAUCAUCACUGCUUGUCUCCGGAAUGAUUGAGCGAGCGAAGCGAGUUCUCAAUCCCUGAUGCAGUCUCCAUUCAUUUGGAUUGAGAGUGAGCAGAGUGAGAGAGAGGACGAAUCAGGAGCUGUAGAUCAUCACUGCUUGUCUCCGGAAUGAUUGAGCGAGCGAUGCGAGUUCUCACUCCCUGUUGCAGUCUCCACCUAUUUGGAUUAUGAGGUGAGUGAACUUUACAAUUUUUGUAGAUAUCCCUUUUAGGGUGGCCACUCACGACAGGACAAGUGUGUUGAGCAUGUGUGUGCACACAUGCUCGUCAUCAAUAUGUGUCAAUGCUAUAGUGAGGUCCACGUUAUAAUGACAGUGGAGAAAGAUAGG